ACGGGUGAGUAACACGUGGGCAACCUGCCCUUGAGACUGGGAUAACUUCGGGAAACCGGAGCUAAUACCGGAUAAUAUGAGGAACCUCCUGGUUCCUUAUUGAAAGAUGGUUUCGGCUAUCACUUAAGGAUGGGCCCGCGGCGCAUUAGCUAGUUGGUGAGGUAACGGCUCACCAAGGCGACGAUGCGUAGCCGACCUGAGAGGGUGAUCGGCCACACUGGGACUGAGACACGGCCCAGACUCCUACGGGAGGCAGCAGUAGGGAAUCUUCCACAAUGGACGAAAGUCUGAUGGAGCAACGCCGCGUGAGUGAUGAAGGCCUUCGGGUCGUAAAGCUCUGUUGUUAGGGAAGAACAAGUGCGAGAGUAACUGCUCGCACCUUGACGGUACCUAACCAGAAAGCCACGGCUAACUACGUGCCAGCAGCCGCGGUAAUACGUAGGUGGCAAGCGUUAUCCGGAAUUAUUGGGCGUAAAGCGCGCGCAGGUGGUUUCUUAAGUCUGAUGUGAAAGCCCACGGCUCAACCGUGGAGGGUCAUUGGAAACUGGGGAACUUGAGUGCAGAAGAGGAAAGUGGAAUUCCA
rnacentral:rRNA from 1 species